CCCAAGAGAUCGGGAUAACACCUGGAAACAGAUGCUAAUACCGGAUAACAACAGAUGAUGCCUAUCAACUGUUUAAAAGAUGGUUCUGCUAUCACUCUUGGAUGGACCUGCGGUGCAUUAGCUAGUUGGUAGGGUAACGGCCUACCAAGGCGAUGAUGCAUAGCCGAGUUGAGAGACUGAUCGGCCACAUUGGGACUGAGACACGGCCCAAACUCCUACGGGAGGCAGCAGUU
rnacentral:rRNA from 1 species